rnacentral:lncRNA from 1 species
GAGCAGGGAUGAGCUGAGCCCACAGAACCCCACAUUUUCCAGCCCCAAAUCCACAUUUUCCAGCCCCAAAAUCCCACAUUUUUCAACCUCAAAUAUUCCCUGUUAGUCGGUCCAUAUGAAAGGCUCUUCCCAGACAGAAAGGGGGAACAUUGAACCCCUAAAAUUGCUGUAAAAAUCAAUGGGAAAAAACACAUUUUGGGAGUUGAUGUCCUUGUGGGAUCCAAUGCUGGAACUCUGUCACUCCAAAGAGUCAGGAAUGAAGGGAAUGGCACUUCCAGAGGUGCCAAAACCCCCCAAAAUCCCUCAAAAAUCCCCAGAAAACUAUGGUUUCAGCUUGAGCCAGGGGUGCAGGAUGGUGAUGAUGGAGAGCACAGAGGAGCUGAGCCCACACAACCCCACCACGGCCNCCCAGCCCAUCCCAGUGCUCCCAGUCCAGCGUUUCCAGUUCAGCCCAGUACACCCAGUCCAGCAUUCCCAGUGCCCCCAGUUCAGCCCAGUCCAUCCCAGUACCCCCAGUCCAGCAUUCCCAGUUUAGCCCAGUGUCUCCAGCCCAUCCCAGUGCUCCCAGUUCAGCCCAGUGCCCCCAGUCCAGCAUUCCCAGUUCAGCCCAGUGUCCCCAGUUCAGGGGCAGGUUUAGGUGGGCAUCAGAACCAGGUUUAG